rnacentral:lncRNA from 1 species
UGAACAAAUAAAAGCUAACUAUCAAACUCACUACUAUGCCUGGAAGAUGUAUGGAUUCAAAGCUUUGGAUAGUUUUCAAGAACAAUUUGAAGAUUCAAAUUCAGAAGAAUUUCAAAAGGUUUCAAGAAUAUUUGUGACACUCAGAAGGGAUCCACAGAUUUACCAGAUUGUUAAAAGGUAUCAGGACAAAAAUAAGGGGAAUUAGGAAGACAUCUUUAAAGUGAAGACAAGAGCGUUCUUUUGGC